CUCCUCAUGGCGCAGUGGCUAGCGCUCUCGGUUUCGGUUCGAGAGUCCCGGGUUCAAUUCCACCUGGGCUCA